AAUUCCCUGAGAAAUGAGCUUACUGCCCCACCAUGAAAUAAGGAAUUAAGAUUAUUGCACUUUACAGCUGUGAUGCUUGGAUGUUCAUCUACUCUUCUGGCUAAACUGGGGCAUCCAAGCUUGCAAAAGYCUUCUUUCAAGAGGUACUGAGGAUCUUCUGGCACAGAAACUCAAUGUGAAUGCCUCAUUGGGGAACAUCAGUAUAAGGCACAGCAGAAGUGGCACAUUAUGCUGCUACAGUUCAUGGGACGGAGGAUGAUGUUUGUAC